AGUCCUACGGGGCGCAGCAGUGGGGGAUAUUGCACAAUGGGGGGAACCCUGAUGCAGCGACGCCGCGUGAAGGAAGAAGGGUUUCGGCUCGUAAACUUCUAUCAACAGGGACGAAAGAAAUGACGGUACCUGAAUAAGAAGCCCCGGCUAACUACGUGCCAGCAGCCGCGGUAAUACGUAGGGGGCAAGCGUUAUCCGGAAUUACUGGGUGUAAAGGGUGAGAAGGCGGCAUGGUAAGCCAGAUGUGAAAGCCUUGGGCUUAACCCGAGGAUUGCCUUUGGGAC
rnacentral:rRNA from 1 species